rnacentral:lncRNA from 1 species
GGCUAAGUAACAAGAGGGGAUUGGAAGCUGCAGUGGAUGCAGCAGUUACCUUUCUAAGCAAGGCAGUGAAACCGGUUAUGAUUGGAGGACCAAAGCUAAGAGUAGCCAAAGCUUGUGAUGCUUUUGUUGAAUUGGCUGAUUCUUCUGGUUAUGCAAUGGCAGUGAUGCCAUCAGCAAAAGGGCUUGUCGCAGAACAACACCCUCACUACCGGUUAUGAUUGGAGGGCCAAAGCUAAGAGUAGCCAAAGCUUGUGAUGCUUUUGUUGAAUUGGCUGAUUCUUCUGGUUAUGCAAUGGCAGUGAUGCCAUCAGCAAAAGGGCUAGUCGCAGAACAACACCCUCACUUCAUUGGCACUUACUGGGGUGCAGUAGGCACAUCCUAUUGCGCAGAAAUUGUUGAAUCAGCUGAUGCUUACUUGUUUGCUGGUCCAAUCUUUAAUGACUACAGUUCUGUUGGUUACUCACUUCUGAUCAAGAAAGAGAAAUCGAUCAUCGUGCAGUCUGAUAGAGUUGUAAUUGGCAAUGGACCAGCUUUUGGUUGUGUCCUAAUGAAAGAUUUCCUAUCUGAACUAGCAAAGAAAAUAAAGAAAAAUGAAACUGCUUAUGAAAACUAUCGUCGGAUAUUUGUGCCUGAAGGCACACCUCUAAAAUCAGAGCCUAAUGAACCACUAAGGGUAAAUGUUCUGUUCCAGCAUAUACAGAAGAUGCUUUCAGAUGAAACAGCAGUGAUUGCUGAGACAGGGGAUUCUUGGUUCAAUUGCCAGAAGCUUAAGUUACCAGAAGGAUGUGGGUAUGUGACUAAUAACAGCUUAUCAGCCUGGUAUCCAUUUUAUUUACAGACAUUAGAAGAAAAAAGUUCGUGUUGCAGGUAUGAAUUCCAGAUGCAAUAUGGCUCCAUUGGUUGGUCUGUUGGUGCUACCUUGGGCUAUGCGCAAUCUAUACCUAAAAAAUGUGUCAUUUCUUGCAUCGGCGAUGGAAGUUUUCAGGUACUAAACGACAAACACUUUCCUGGGAAAUGGUACCUAAAAAACGCGUCAUAUCUUGCAUCGGUGAUGGAAGUUUUCAGGU